rnacentral:rRNA from 1 species
ACAUCCAGCGAACUUGGCAGAGAUGCCUUGGUGCCUUCGGGAACGCUGAGACAGGUGCUGCAUGGCUGUCGUCAGCUCGUGUUGUGAAAUGUUGGGUUAAGUCCCGCAACGAGCGCAACCCUUAUCCUUUGUUGCCAGCGAUUCGGUCGGGAACUCAAAGGAGACUGCCGGUGAUAAACCGGAGGAAGGUGGGGAUGACGUCAAGUCAUCAUGGCCCUUACGAGUAGGGCUACACACGUGCUACAAUGGCGCAUACAAAGAGAAGCGACCUCGCGAGAGCAAGCGGACCUCAUAAAGUGCGUCGUAGUCCGGAUCGGAGUCUGCAACUCGACUCCGUGAAGUCGGAAUCGCUAGUAAUCGUGGAUCAGAAUGCCACGGUGAAUACGUUCCCGGGCCUUGUACACACCGCCCGUCACACCAUGGGAGUGGGUUGCAAAAGAAGUAGGUAGCUUAACCCUCGGGAGGGCGCUUACCACUUUGUGAUUCAUGACUGGGGUGAAGUCGUAACAAGGUAGGCGUAGCGAG